rnacentral:snRNA from 1 species
AUCGCUUCUCGGCCUUAUGGCUAAGAUAAGGAUAGUAUCUGUUCUUAUCAGGUUAAUAUCUGAUAUGUUCUUUAUUUGAGAACUGUAUAUUAAUCCAUUUUUGGGAUAGAGAGAUGGAAUAGGAGCUUGCUCCAUCCACUCUGCGCAUCAACCCGGUAUUGCAGUACUUCCGGGCAUGGUGCAGCUCCC